UUGGGCAGCCGCUCUUUGGAAGCGGAACCAUCGGGCAAACACCAGGACCAAGUCAUUGUUGCAAGACAGAUCUUGAUGACGUCGCAGCAGAUCCAGUAUAUGAUGCAGCAUGGGGCCUCACUCUUGAGUCGGGAAAAGCCGUAGAAACAUCACCAGAGCCAGCGUGUGAGCUGGGUCACGUCACAGAUAAAUCUGUUCAAGUGCGACUACUAACCCACCAUGAAGCAUCACAAGCAAAUGAAAAGAAAAUUCUGUCCACAAGUGCUACACAAACAGAGCCUCAAGCUGUUUCUUCAGGUUCCUUGUCAUUUGCGUCCCUGGAGCAGUCUUCUUCUUUGGCAUCUGUGCGAGAUCGACUGCAUUCCUGCCAGCAGUGCACCUAUGUGACCCUGGACAAGUCAACUAUGAAGAGACACCUUCAGAAACAUAUGGGCGAGCGCCCCUUACAGUGCCA